UGGGGAAUUUUGCACAAUGGGGGAAACCCUGAUGCAGCGACGCCGCGUGAUUUAGAAGGCCUUCGGGUUGUAAAAAUCUUUUCUAUGGGAAGAAAAUGACAGUACCAUAGGAAUAAGGACCGGCUAAUUACGUGCCAGCAGCCGCGGUAAUACGUAAGGUCCGAGCGUUGUCCGGAAUCAUUGGGCGUAAAGGGUACGUAGGCGGGUAAGCAAGUUAGAAGUGAACUCCUAUAGCUCAACUAUAGUAAGCUUUUAAAACUGCUCAUCUUGAGGUAUGGAAGGGAAAGUGGAAUUCCUAGUGUAGCGGUGAAAUGCGCAGAUAUUAGGAGGAAUACCGGUGGCGAAGGCGACUUUCUGGCCAUAACCUGACGCUGAGGUACGAAAGCGUGGGUAGCAAACAGG
rnacentral:rRNA from 1 species